rnacentral:piRNA from 1 species
GACAUCCCGAUGGUGCAGCCGCUAUUAAA